CUGUAACGAUGUGUCACAUUCACGUCUAGAGUGGCGCUGCCUCUGAGCGGCGACACGCAAAAGUAGUCACUCUGUUGUUUGUCCUUUUUUUCUUUUUGUUUUAUUCUGUUUGUCUUGUGCAAUCAGUGUUUUGUUAUCAUCAUGAGCUAAGGAGCGCACAGGUUUUGCAACCGAGCGGAUCUAAUGAGAGGAGCACUGGACUUAAUGGCGUUGCCCGAGGGACAGUCACAGCUGAGAACUGACAGCGUGUGUAGCGGCCAGCAGCCCCACUCGCUGAAAUACAGCCGUGACUUUUCGAUCCGCUGUAGAGGCUCAAAAGUCGGGACCUUGCCAGCUGGCAUUCCGCCGGAGAUCUGCAAAACAAGAGUCCGAGACGGGAGGUGGGCGACGGGACGCAUGAGGAAGCCGUGCAAGUUGCUGCGAGGAGCGGUCUUGACAAGGAAGCGAGGGCGGAGAGGAGGAGUGCGACUGCGGCUUCGCCAACUUGGAUUACCCCGCUUACCCCUUCCCUCUAUCAUCCUUAGUAACGCACAAUCACUGAGAAACAAAGUAGAUGAGCUUCAAGCUCAUGUAAAAUGCAUAUCCGAAUAGAAGGACGCUUGUGUGAUUGCACUAACAGAGACGUGGUUAAAGAAUCACGGCUUGAACCAGGACCUGGAAAUCACUGGUUUCGGGCAGCCUUUUCGGCUCGACAAAGAAGCACAGCUGACAGCUACCUAGUUGCUAAGCUAGGGAAGCUAAGCUAGUACUGGUACGAAGCUACUGUGCUCUGAAGACAGCAAGAACUUGACCCGGUGAAAGAAACAAGAGUGUAGCCUGGAAGAGUUGCUGUCAUGGCGCGGUGUCGAACCCACAUUUCCUCGGCGGUUGGAGCUGCGUGCACCUCUGCUGACAGUGCGCCAAGAGACACCUCUGCUCACAACGCACUCAGACACGUCCUCACUCGUGCUGAGUGCAACACGCCCACGCAGCAACGAGCCUGCAGCCUAUCAAGAAUCAACACUGAUGAGAGGGAGCUGCGUAAAGACCAGCAGACCCGAGGGACCUUUGCCAGAACGUAGCCAAUCGUUCACAGUAAACAUCACGUCUGGCACCUCUCCCUCGUUCCUUGCUCGCCUUCUUUGUGCUCUUCCUGGUUCCCGUGUUUGAUGUCCCUUGUGUCUUCCGCAGAGUCUUCCUUGUUGCCUGUGAUCGUUCCUUGCCUCACGACCUCCACCCGGAUCUCUGCUUGCCUCCCUCGACCCUCGACGCCAGCUUGGACUCGGAAAUUGUUGCCUCUCUCCAACCCCCGACUGCUCGCUUCCCUGCUGACUACCUCUUCGCCUUGCCCCUUGGAUUUGAUGAAAUAUGCACACAACACGCACCGACAACAACCCCUGGUAAGACUUACAUUGUUAAUUCUACACCUCGUCCGCACACAGUUACUUGUGGUAGCAUACACACCCCACACACUCAUCAAGGUUUUCAAUAAACCUGGUAAACCGCAGUUCUGCCUUGGUGUCGCCUCCUUCCCUCUGCCCGGUACAUAACAGUACGUU